AUGACUGCACCGAAAGAAGCCUGCCAUCUUAUCAGACAUCCCCAAGCGAGAGGGGGGAUUCGAUGGGCCUUUGGCUGGGCUGAUGAUGGAUGGCUGGAUUUGCCAGCAAAGGCAGCUUCUGUGAAGGAUCCUCCAGACCGGGAAACAAGGGGGGUAGUUUUUAUUCCUGCCUCUGGAAGAAACCCUCAGGGUUCCCAGGACAGCGGAGGAAAUAAUCAAGUUCAUAGCUGUAAGCCUUACAUCCAUGGCCCUGUGGGAAGGUGGAAAGGGAGAGAGAGAGAGUGCCCAACCAAGGGCAAUCUGGAUGACACCCUCGCCUGGACCGGAGCAGUCCAAGUCCCGCUGGACCCAAGGAAGUCCAGCUCGCACCUGCCACACAAACCCACAUCUUUGCUGAGUGUCCUUUCUAAGCCCUCUUCCACCUGCUGCCUUGCCUCCUGCUGCUGGUUUAUAACGGAGCCUCUUCAUUACCUGGUGUUAAGCAGCGAAGAGUGAAGAAUGAUUUGAUGAGUUCUUUGUUCUUUUUUAAAUUUAUUAAAUUGUCAUUAAAAACCAUUAAAGACUCCCUGUCCUGA
rnacentral:lncRNA from 1 species